rnacentral:rRNA from 1 species
GACGAACGCUGGCGGCGUGCCUAAUACAUGCAAGUAGAACGCUGAAGAGAGGAGCUUGCUCUUCUUGGAUGAGUUGCGAACGGGUGAGUAACGCGUAGGUAACCUGCCAGGUAGCGGGGGAUAACUAUUGGAAACGAUAGCUAAUACCGCAUAAAAUUGAUUAUUGCAUGAUAAUUAAUUGAAAGAUGCAAUUGCAUCACUACCAGAUGGACCUGCGUUGUAUUAGCUAGUUGGUGAGGUAACGGCUCACCAAGGCGACGAUACAUAGCCGACCUGAGAGGGUGAUCGGCCACACUGGGACUGAGACACGGCCCAGACUCCUACGGGAGGCGGCAGUAGGGAAUCUUCGGCAAUGGGGGGAACCCUGACCGAGCAACGCCGCGUGAGUGAAGAAGGUUUCCGGAUCGUAAAGCUCUGUUGUAAGAGAAGAACGGGUGUGAGAGUGGAAAGUUCACACUGUGACGGUACCUUACCAGAAAGGGACGGCUAACUACGUGC